UACGGAGGGUGCGAGCGUUGUCCGGAAUCAUUGGGCGUAAAGGGCGCGUAGGUGGCGGGACAAGCGUGCGGUGAAAGCCUGGGGCUCAACCCCGGGUCGGCCGUGCGAACUGUUUUGCUUGAGCACUGUAGAGGCAGGCGGAAUUCCGGGUGUAGCGGUGGAAUGCGUAGAGAUCCGGAAGAACGACCGGUGGCGAAGGCGGCCUGCUGGGCAGUAGCUGACACUGAGGCGCGACAGCGUGGGGAGCAAACAGGG
rnacentral:rRNA from 1 species